rnacentral:rRNA from 1 species
GAUGAACGCUGGCGGCGUGCCUAAUACAUGCAAGUCGAGCGAACGGACGAGAAGCUUGCUUCUCUGAUGUUAGCGGCGGACGGGUGAGUAACACGUGGAUAACCUACCUAUAAGACUGGGAUAACUUCGGGAAACCGGAGCUAAUACCGGAUAAUAUUUUGAACCGCAUGGUUCAAAAGUGAAAGACGGUCUUGCUGUCACUUAUAGAUGGAUCCGCGCUGCAUUAGCUAGUUGGUAAGGUAACGGCUUACCAAGGCAACGAUGCAUAGCCGACCUGGGAGGGUGAUCGGCCACACUGGAACUGAGACACGGUCCAUACUCCUACGGGAGGCAGCAGUAGGGAAUCUUCCGCAAUGGGCGAAAGCCUGACGGAGCAACGCCGCGUGAGUGAUGAAGGUCUUCGGAUCGUAAAACUCUGUUAUUAGGGAAGAACAUAUGUGUAAGUAACUGUGCACAUCUUGACGGUACCUAAUCAGAAAGCCACGGCUAACUACGUG